rnacentral:rRNA from 1 species
UACGUAGGGGGCUAGCGUUGUCCGGAAUCAUUGGGCGUAAAGCGCGUGUAGGCGGUCCGGUAAGUCCGCUGUGAAAGUCGGGGGCUCAACCCUCGAAUGCCGGUGGAUACUGUCGGGCUAGAGUGCGGAAGAGGCGAGUGGAAUUCCUGGUGUAGCGGUGAAAUGCGCAGAUAUCAGGAGGAACACCAAUGGCGAAGGCAGCUCGCUGGAACGGUACUGACGCUGAGGCGCGAAAGCGUGGGGAGCGAACAGG